rnacentral:rRNA from 1 species
UACAGAGGGGGGCAAGCGUUUAUUCGGAAUUAUUGGGCGUAAAGGGCGCGUAGGCGGCCUGGCAAGUGACGGGUGAAAGCCCUCGGCUUAACCGAGGAACUGCCUGUCAGACUGUUAGGCUUGAGGCCGGGAGAGGUGAGUGGAAUUCCCAGUGUAGCGGUGAAAUGCGUAGAGAUCCGGAGGAACACCAGUGGCGAAGGCGACACGCUGGGCCGUACCUGACACUGAUGCGCGACAGCAUGGGGAGCAAACAGG